GAGUUUGAUCCUGGCUCAGGACGAACGCUGGCGGCGUGCUUAACACAUGCAAGUCGAGCGGUAAGGCCUUUCGGGGUACACGAGCGGCGAACGGGUGAGUAACACGUGGGUGAUCUGCCCUGCACUUCGGGAUAAGCCUGGGAAACUGGGUCUAAUACCGGAUAUGACCUCNNNUUGCAUGGUGNGUGGUGGAAAGAUUUAUCGGUGCAGGAUGGGCCCGCGGCCUAUCAGCUUGUUGGUGGGGUAAUGGCCUACCAAGGCGACGACGGGUAGCCGACCUGAGAGGGUGACCGGCCACACUGGGACUGAGACACGGCCCAGACUCCUACGGGAGGCAGCAGUGGGGAAUAUUGCACAAUGGGCGAAAGCCUGAUGCAGCGACGCCGCGUGAGGGAUGACGGCCUUCGGGUUGUAAACCUCUUUCAGCAGGGACGAAGCGCAAGUGACGGUACCUGCAGAAGAAGCACCGGCUAA
rnacentral:rRNA from 1 species